rnacentral:rRNA from 1 species
UACGUAGGGGGCAUGCGUUGUCCGGAUUUACUGGGUGUAAAGGGCGCGUAGGUGGACUUGUAAGUCAGAGGUGAAAGCCUGCAGCUCAACUGCAGAACUGCCUUUGAUACUGCAAGCCUUGAGUGCAGAAGAGAGAAGCGGAAUUCCAGGUGUAGUAGUGAAAUACGUGGAUAUCUGGAAGAACACCAGUUGCGAAGGCGGCUUCUUGGUCUGUUACUGACACUGAGGCGCGAAAGCGUGGGGAG